rnacentral:rRNA from 1 species
AACGAACGCUGGCGGCAUGCCUAACACAUGCAAGUCGAACGAGUGCCUUCGGGUGCUAGUGGCGCACGGGUGCGUAACGCGUGGGAAUCUGCCCUUAGGUUCGGAAUAACAGCUGGAAACGGCUGCUAAUACCGGAUGAAAUCGCGAGAUCAAAGAUUUAUCGCCUGAGGAUGAGCCCGCGUUGGAUUAGGUAGUUGGUGGGGUAAAGGCCUACCAAGCCGACGAUCCAUAGCUGGUCUGAGAGGAUGAUCAGCCACACUGGGACUGAGACACGGCCCAGACUCCUACGGGAGGCAGCAGUGGGGAAUAUUGGACAAUGGGCGCAAGCCUGAUCCAGCAAUGCCGUGUGAGUGAUGAAGGCCCUAGGGUUGUAAAGCUCUUUUACCCGGGAAGAUAAUGACUGUACCGGGAGAAUAAGCCCCGGCUAACUCCGUGCCAGCAGCCGCGGUAA